rnacentral:lncRNA from 1 species
GGAAAACUCUUGUGAGCAACAGGACCUGAGCAGGCCUGGCUUUUCUCAUGGAAAUAUUCUUUCAGAAAAAAUGAAAUGAAGCUGAAAUCAGGGCCUGCAAUCCAUUAUGAAGAAGCAAAUAAUGAAAUAGCCUAACAUGACAAACCCAUGGCCUACUCCAGUUCACUGACCAAGGAACUACUUAUGAUGGAGAAGGAAGUGUAUGUCAGUCCAAUUCUGUGAAAUAAGACGGAAUUGAGUAUCACCCACAGCUUGCAGGUAAGUAGAUCUUCAUUCUCCCACUGCCUUUGUGGAACUGCACUGCCAACCACUUGAAGA